UGGGUAACCUGCCUCAAAGAGGGGAAUAGCCUCCCGAAAGGGAGAUUAAUACCGCAUAAUAUGUUUAAGUCGCAUGACUUUAACAUCAAAGGAUUUUCUUUUAGAAAUUCCACUUUGAGAUGGACCCGCGGUGCAUUAGCUAGUUGGUGAGGUAACGGCUCACCAAGGCGACGAUCCGUAGCUGGUCUGAGAGGACGAUCAGCCACACUGGGACUGAGACACGGCCCAGACCUCGUACGGGGAG
rnacentral:rRNA from 1 species